rnacentral:lncRNA from 1 species
AAAAAGAGCCCUCUAAGUCAAAAACUAAAAUAGAGUUGACUUAAGCAAAAGUUAGGGCAUCCUGAUGGACCACAAAUUCAAAAGAAUUGGUCCAUUCAAAAAUAGGGAUUAAAAAGAAAAUAAAAAAGAAAAAAAACGGAAACAAGCUUGUAAGUGAAAGUAGGUGACUUCCACCUCAAGAAUCUCAUCAGUGCUUGAACCAUUACAUCUACC